UACGGGGGGUGCAAGCGUUGUUCGGAAUUACUGGGCGUAAAGGGUUCGUAGGCGGCCUAUUAAGUCUGACGUGAAAUCCCUCGGCUUAACCGGGGAACUGCGUCUGAUACUGGAUGGCUUGAGUUCGGGAGAGGGAUGCGGAAUUCCAGGUGUAGCGGUGAAAUGCGUAGAUAUCUGGAGGAACACCGGUGGCGAAGGCGGCAUCCUGGACCGACACUGACGCUGAGGAGCGAAAGCCAGGGGAGCAAACGGG
rnacentral:rRNA from 1 species